GCAUUUCCGCCUCUGGCGAAUGGCUCGGCUGUAGUGCACGCCGCGGGCCCAGCUGCGACCCCGGCCCCGCCCCCGGGACCCCGGCCAUGGACGUUUCACCGCAGGUUUUAGGGAGCAGGUCCUGACCCAGUUCCCCUGGGAGGGAGCCUGGCUUCUCUCCGUGGAGAGCAGAUUCCCCCUUGUGAGGAUGGGCAUUGGGUGUGUGCUGACCCUGAUCUCCCUCCCCUUUCAGAACUGUUCCCCCUCAUCUUCCCGGCAGAGCCAGCCCAGGCCUCUGGCCCCUAUGUGGAGAUCAUUGAGCAGCCCAAGCAGCGGGGCAUGCGCUUCCGCUACAAGUGCGAGGGGCGCUCCGCGGGCAGCAUCCCAGGCGAGAGGAGCACAGAUACCACCAAGACCCACCCCACCAUCAAGAUCAAUGGCUACACAGGACCAGGGACAGUACGCAUCUCCCUGGUCACCAAGGACCCUCCUCACCGGCCUCACCCCCACGAGCUUGUAGGAAAGGACUGCCGGGAUGGCUUCUAUGAGGCUGAGCUCUGCCCGGACCGCUGCAUCCACAGUUUCCAGAACCUGGGAAUCCAGUGUGUGAAGAAGCGGGACCUGGAGCAGGCUAUCAAUCA
rnacentral:sRNA from 1 species